UACGUAGGGUGCGAGCGUUAAUCGGAAUUACUGGGCGUAAAGCGUGCGCAGGCGGUUGUGUAAGACAGGUGUGAAAUCCCCGGGCUUAACCUGGGAAUGGCAUUUUGAACUGGCAGUCUAGAGUGCGUCAGAGGGGGGUGGAAUUCCACGUGUAGCAGUGAAAUGCGUAGAGAUGUGGAGGAACACCAAUGGCGAAGGCAGCCCCUGGGAUGACACUGACGCUCAUGUACGAAAGCGUGGGUAGCAAACAGGAUUAGAUACCCGGGUAGU
rnacentral:rRNA from 1 species